rfam:Aspergillus ruber CBS 135680 unplaced genomic scaffold scaffold00103, whole genome shotgun sequence.
AAGAAAUUAGCUCAGCGGUAGAGCGACCACUUUACACGUGGCUGGUCAGGUGUUCAAAUCACCUAUUUCUUA